UAGGGAAUCUUCGGCAAUGGGGGGAACCCUGACCGAGCAACGCCGCGUGAGUGAAGAAGGUUUUCGGAUCGUAAAGCUCUGUUGUUAAGGAAGAACGAGUGUGAGAAUGGAAAGUUCAUGCUGUGACGGUACUUAACCAGAAAGGGACGGCUAACUACGUGCCAGCAGCCGCGGUAAUACGUAGGUCCCGAGCGUUGUCCGGAUUUAUUGGGCGUAAAGCGAGCGCAGGCGGUUAGAAAAGUCUGAAGUGAAAGGCAGUGGCUCAACCAUUGUAGGCUUUGGAAACUGUUUAAAUUGAGUGCAGAAGGGGAGAGUGGAAUUCCAUGUGUAGCGGUGAAAUGCGUAGAUAUAUGGGGGAACACCGGUGGCGAAAGCGGCUCUCUGGUCUGUAACUGAAGCUGAGGCUCGAAAGCGUGGGGAGCGAACAGG
rnacentral:rRNA from 1 species